rnacentral:rRNA from 1 species
GAUGAACGCUGGCGGCGUGCCUAAUACAUGCAAGUCGAGCGAACAGACGAGGAGCUUGCUCCUCUGACGUUAGCGGCGGACGGGUGAGUAACACGUGGAUAACCUACCUAUAAGACUGGGAUAACUUCGGGAAACCGGAGCUAAUACCGGAUAAUAUAUUGAACCGCAUGGUUCAAUAGUGAAAGACAGUUUUGCUGUCACUUAUAGAUGGAUCCGCGCCGCAUUAGCUAGUUGGUAAGGUAACGGCUUACCAAGGUGACGAUGCGUAGCCGACCUGAGAGGGUGAUCGGCCACACUGGAACUGAGACACGGUCCAGACUCCUACGGGAGGCAGCAGUAGGGAAUCUUCCGCAAUGGGCGAAAGCCUGACGGAGCAACGCCGCGUGAGUGAUGAAGGUCUUCGGAUCGUAAAACUCUGUUAUUAGGGAAGAACAAAUGUGUAAGUAACUAUGCACGUCUUGACGGUACCUAAUCAGAAAGCCACGGCUAACUACGUG